GGCUGCAUAGCUCAGUUGGCAGAGCACUGCUCUCAUGAGGCAGGGGUCCCAAGUUCAAUUCUUGGUGCAGCCA
rnacentral:tRNA from 1 species